rnacentral:misc_RNA from 1 species
AGUCCGGCAACGUUGCGAAAUGCACCACAGAAGUAGCGACGUUUGGAUUUAGUUAUUUUAUCAUUUGAAAAAAAAAUUAAUAAUAAUAGAUAAUUUCUUUGUAAAACUAACUAAUUAUGAGUUAUCGUGGUAUUCCAGCCGGAUAUGAAGAUGACGAAGACUGGUGUCUCUCCGAUAUGGUCCAAAAAAUCACGGUUGUGCCAGACAUCACUACGGCCGCUGGCCUGAAUAACGAAAAUUUCGAUCGCAAUCUCAGCACCGACGUCAACAACUGGUUUGAGAGUUACAAAGAGCAAUGGAAUUCUUAUAAACGCACGCCGGCUGCACAGCACAAUCUCAAAGUGAUGCUUAUGAGAGAUCCAGAUCCGCUACUACUUGCCUUAAAAUUAUUUGCCAAUUGUCCCGGAUGUAACAACUUAAAAAACAAGAAUCUGGCGUUAUUUAUACUGGAAACCAUAUGUGAUCUUCAUACGCAACAUCCAGAGAUAUCUGCAAAUUGUUCUGACAACACGCGCAUGGUGGCUUUCAAUUUUGUAAAGACUUGCGGUAUGGUGCCGCUUUAUAAGGCUGUGAUGUCUACCUAUGAGCUGAAAAAAAUAUGUGAACGGCUGGUGCCUAAAAUAAAAGAGCUAAUAACGCAGGGUCACUUUAAGGAUGCUGCGCAUUGGACGAUAAAUUUGCAAAUUACUCAUCUUUUCAGCAUUUUUGAUAUUAUAUUUCCAUUAAUUUUGCAAGAUAAGGCUUCAUUGGCAGAGGAGUAUCUUAAUGUUGCCAAAGAUUUGCAAUUGCCGACAGUGCAAUUUCUAGAUUCCCUAUUGGAUAAACAAAAGACUGUAUUAGAACAUUGUGAUGAAAUAUUAAUGAAAUAUGAGUACAAAGAUGUCAAGCAUAAUGUCUUAAGCUAUCGUCCGAUGUCUAAGUUAGUGACACGCUUGGCAAAGAAAUAUAAGAUUGAAACGCAUCUUACACCGAAUCUCAAUUUUACAAAAGCUUGUUCUUACAUGCAUUAUUUGUGGCAUAAAUAUCAAGAUGGUGGAAUGAGUUGUGAUGCUUGGCGUGAAUUGGUACGCGAUGCUGCCAGUACGAGACUAUUACAAAUGGAUUUGGUGACAAAUGUGGCCAGCUAUGGAGAUUAUGAAGAAGCACAAUAUUGGUUAAAUUAUUUUAAUAUUCCAUUGGAGGAUUUACCAAGCGAUAUGCGCAAAAAUUUUCAAUGGCAUAUAACCGCUGAAAAAACUGAAGACGAUAAAGUUCUGCUAAAUACAAGCAAUGAAUCUACAAAUUCAACGAAUAGUGGCGGUGCAAUAAACAAAUCAAAACGUUCAAAUUCGGCAACAAAUAAUCUAUAUUUAACUUUAAAUCUACCCAUAGAAAGUGUUAUCAUAAUCGAUAAUGGAGCGAAAUUUCUUGAAAUGCUCGAUUAUCUGGAAAGUCAAUUGCUUAUUGCAUUUGAUUCCGAAUGGAAACCAACCGUUUGUAAUGAAAAUGUUAUAUCACUCCUACAAAUGGCUACAAUGGAUAGAGUUUAUCUAUUAGACUGUCUUUCUACACAACUUAAUGACGAAUUAUGGUUGCAGCUCGGACGCAGAGUUUUCAACAAUUUGGAGAUAUUGAAAAUUGGUUUCUCUUUACAUCAAGACUUGCGUAUGCUGCACAAAUCAUUACCCUUGCAAUUGAAUUUGAAUACGAAAACAUGUUAUUUGGAUUUGCGUGAAAUGUGGCGACGUUUGAAAUAUUUACAAAUUGUCAAAUUCCCUUACGACAGUGGUUUCAACACCGGCGAUAGCUUGUGUGCAUUGACGGAAAUAUGUUUGGGGAAGAAAUUAGAUAAAUCAAAUCAAUGUUCGAAUUGGGCUAAUCGACCACUGAGGCACGACCAAAUUGUAUAUGCAGCACUUGAUGCACAUUGCUUACUACAAGUUUACCAAGUACUCUCGGAAAUGCUGCUACGUCUUGGUUUGGAUGUUGACCAGGUUGUUGAUGAGGUGACGACCGGCAAGACUGGCUAUUUAUUCCGUAUGAAACGCGUUAUAUCGGAACAAAACGACGGUUGCAGUACCGUUUUCUCUCCAAAAACCAAUUUACCAAAAGUAAAAGCAGUAAAUGCACAAAUUGAAAAUAAUUGUACAAUCAAUGUGAAAUUCAUCGCUGACAGCAUGCUGUAUGGCCUGUCGAAGGAGCUGCGUAAAUUGGGUAUUGAUUGCUUGGAGAUAAUCAGAGACAACUUGGGUCCGUACAUUGAUAUAGCCAAGCGGGAAAAUCGUUAUAUUCUCACGCGAGACUCACGUUAUAAUCUAUUCACCGAAAUGUUGCCACGUGCGCAAUGCCUACAAAUUCCUAAUGAUUCCAGCGUAGAGCAAGUAUUAAAUAUACUUAGACUGUUGGAUAUUAAAAUCUACGAUUGUAAUCUGUUUACACGCUGCCUAAAUUGUAAUAGCAAUGAGUUCAUAUUGGCACUGAGGCAUGAAAUACAAAUGAUGCGUUAUGGGCAAGCUUUAGACGAGGCCAAAAAUGCAUGUGAACGCAAUGUAUGGCCAUAUGAAAAAACAUUUCAAUUAUUGAACGCCAAUAAAGACAUAUUGAAAUCAAAAGCUACUUAUCGCGGCAGACCUAUCAAGUUGAACCGCAUUAAGUCGCACAUUUUACGUUCUAAAGAACACUUUUACAUAUGUGAUAACUGUGGUAUUUGUACAUGGGAUGGUGCCCAUUCUAUACAUGGAAGCGUAAUGGAAGUGAUACUUUUUAAUAACUCCGAAACUGCUAGUGCUGCUGGAUUUUAAAUCUAUUCUGCAUAUACAUACACACAUACAUACAUACAUACAUACAUGCAUACAUAUAUGCAUACAUAUAUUGUAUCUAUGUACAACACAAAUCAUUGCGACUGAAAUUUUUUGCAUUGAGUGACUUAUGUAUGUACAUAUAAGCAUUUGUUUAUAUAGUUCCAUAUGUGGACAUUUUGUAUUUUUGGACUUGAAGAAAUUAUAAUUUUUUCCUUAUUUUUAUGUUU